UGGGUGACCUGCCCUUCACUCUGGGAUAAGCCUGGGAAACUGGGUCUAAUACCGGAUAUGACUCCUCAUCGCAUGGUGGGGGGUGGAAAGCUUUAUUGUGGUUUUGGAUGGACUCGCGGCCUAUCAGCUUGUUGGUGAGGUAAUGGCUCACCAAGGCGACGACGGGUAGCCGGCCUGAGAGGGCGACCGGCCACACUGGGACUGAGACACGGCCCAGACUCCUACGGGAGGCAG
rnacentral:rRNA from 1 species